GCUUUUGUAGCUCAGUUGGUUAGAGCACCUGUUUAGUAUGCGGGAGGUCUUGAGUUUAACUCCCAACAAGAGCA
rfam:Ipomoea nil DNA, scaffold: scaffold2191, cultivar: Tokyo-kokei standard.